GGACGAACGCUGGCGGCGUGGAUUAGGCAUGCAAGUCGCGCGACGGUCUUCGGAUACGGAGCGGCGAACGGGUGAGUAACACGUGAGCAAUCUGUCCUUACGUUCCGGAUAAUUGGCCGAAGGCCUUGUAAUACGGGGGAGGGCCCACUUUGGGCAUCUAGAGUGGAAGGAAGGGGCAACCCGCGCAAGGAGGAGCUCGCGGUCUAUCAGGUAGUUGGUGGGGUAAUGGCCCACCAAGCCGACGACGGAUAGCUGGUCUGAGAGGAUGGUCAGCCACAUUGGAACUGAGACACUGUCCAGACUCCUACGGGAGGCUGCAGUCGAGAAUCUUGGGCAAUGCACGAAGUGUGACCCAGCGACGCCGCGUGGAGGAUGAAGGCCCUC
rnacentral:rRNA from 1 species